rnacentral:rRNA from 1 species
AUUGAACGCUGGCGGCUUGCUUUACACAUGCAGGUCGAACGGCAGCGCGGGCUUCGGCCUGGCGGCGAGUGGCGAACGGGUGAGUAAUACAUCGGAACGUGCCCAGUAGUGGGGGAUAGCUCGGCGAAAGCCGGAUUAAUACCGCAUACGACCUGAGGGUGAAAGCGGGGGAUCUUCGGACCUCGCGCUAUUGGAGCGGCCGAUGGCAGAUUAGCUAGUUGGUGGGGUAAAGGCCUACCAAGGCGACGAUCUGUAGCUGGUCUGAGAGGACGACCAGCCACACUGGGACUGAGACACGGCCCAGACUCCUACGGGAGGCAGCAGUGGGGAAUUUUGGACAAUGGGCGAAAGCCUGAUCCAGCAAUGCCGCGUGUGUGAUGAAGGCCUUCGGGUUGUAAAGCACUUUUGGCGGGAACGAAAAGGACUGUGCCAAUACUACGGUUCGAUGACGGUACCCGCAGAAUAAGCACCGGCUAACUACGUG